UACCCGGUGGUGUAAUGGUAACACAACAGGUUUUGGUCCUGUUGUUCGAGGUUCGAAUCCUUGCCGGGUAA
rnacentral:tRNA from 1 species